GUGGUCGCUUUGGCAGCACAUAUACUGAAACAGGAACAACACAGAGAAGAUUAGCACAGCCCCUGCGCAAGGAUGAUGUGCAAUUUUGUGAAGUGUUUCAUAUUUUU
ensembl:snRNA U6 U6 spliceosomal RNA